rnacentral:lncRNA from 1 species
UCAACUUUUUUUUCUCUCUCUAAACUAAGCUUUCUCUCUCUCUCUCUUUCUAAAAUUUCAACUCUCUCACUCCCUCUAAUUUUGACUAUAUUUUUCUUUCUAUUUUUUUAAUUAUGCUCUCUCUCUCUAUCUUAUACUCUCUCUCCUUUUUUUCUAAAAAGAUGUUGAAACUUUUGAUAACAUUAUCUAAAAUUAAUUAAAUAAAUAAAUUAAUUAAUUGUAUAUUUUUUGUAAUAUUAAAUAACAUGGCUAAUUAAUAUUACCGUGCGAACCAAACAUAGGAAUUCCACAUUCUUAGUAAUAGGAUGAAUAGGAAUAAGAUUCUCGGAUAUCUUUUAUUCCUAGUAAUUUUUCAUAAUGCGAACCAAAUGCACCCUAUAGGUAAAAUAUACUAUCUUACCAAAUUGAUUUAUUAAUGGUGUGAUCUCAUAGCUUAAAUUAUCCACUAUUU